AUGCUGCGAGCAUGGAGUGGCCAGAGGUGGAAAAGCCAUGUGGCCGCCAGCAGGAAUCCAGGCCUACCCACACUCUGGGGGUGGCUGUGGGCUAGGGCCAUCCCCUCUGUCCCUCUAGCAAAGGGGCACCCAGCAUCAUGGAGGUACCUCUUGCAACCAUCCUUCCCGACCCCUCCUGGCCUCUCCUUAGUCACGCCCCAUACCCCAGGGUCCCAGAGCCCUCUGACCUUGUCUUUCCAGGACCCACCUCUGCUCUGGCCCGGGGCCACUAUGAUUUCCUGCCCGCCUGACUUCCCCGAUUCCCCACCCCCCUUCCAACCUCUGCUCACGGCACCUGAUGCCACCAUUAAAUCUCAGGACCCUGGACCCCAAGCUGGAAGCCUCCUGUGCUCCUCGAUGCCUUUGAGAUGUCACCAGCUCCCAGGCUGGAGUCCCAGGCCCGCACGCCUGGCCACUGAAGCCAGCCCUGGCCAUUUGGCUCAUUCUGGGGUUACUUGGGACCAGCCAUGCUGGGCUUGGCCACCUCUCUGCCUGGGACCCCUGCCCUUCCCAGAUUCCCCUCUUCAUCCCAGUCCUCGGGUGGGCUCUGAUGGGGGCUCCUGCCGUACUCCUGCUUCCCACCAUCCUAGAUCAGGCUUUGUACCUGGCCGUGGGCAGCUGGGAGGCAGACCCAGGCCCUCCCUCCUGGCCAUGGGGUUCCCUUCAGGUUCAUCUGUGGAGGGAAGCUGGGGGACUCUGGGGCACACACUUCUCAUCAGGCCUGCUUUCCUCUCUGCUGCUCCCCCAGCAGGGGCCAGGCUCCAUGCCCAGAGCUGGACUUCGGGUGACCGCUUCGGUGGGCACCAUUGUGAGAAGCAGCUGGAGCCGGGUUGUUCUUGUGACCGAUGGAUGGUGCUAUGCUUGAGUGUCGGCCGGCGGCCGUCUGGGCCCAAAGGCAAGGGCAGGCCUAACGAGGAGGCCCAGGCAGCCUCAGGGCUCUCCACCGCCCGGGGCCUUGGCCAGCAGCACUGA
rnacentral:lncRNA from 12 species